UAACAAUGAUACCCUUAGUAGCGGCGAGCGAAGUGGGUAAAGCUCAAGUUUAAAACCUGUUUGUCCUAGACAAACCGGAUUGUAAACUAAGGACGUGCUAUCCAGGCUCUUUGGACCUUCAAGUCCUUUGGAAUAAGGCUUCACAGAGGGUGACAAUCCCGUAGAGGGUCUUGAAAGAGUCUAUUGCGAUGCAUGCUCCAAGAGUCAGGUUGUUUGGGAAUGCAGCCUAAAGUGGGAGGUAAAUCCCUCCUAAAGCUAAAUAUUGGCGAGAGACCGAUAGCAAACAAGUACCGUGAGGGAAAGUUGAAAAGGACUUUGAAAAGAGAGUCAAAAGUACGUGAAAUUGCUUAAAGGGAAGCGUUUGGAGCUAGUUUGGCUAGUCUGUUAUCAGCCUGAGCUUCGGCUUUGGUGUACUAUCAGGCUAUUUGCCGGCCAACUUUCAGGAUUGGAAGGAAAGCUUAGUGCUUUGGAGUCUAAAGAGACCUUUGCGGAAGCCUCUGGUGGAGCGUUGGUCUGCCUUGGCCCUUCUGAACCUAUAGGUGGCUUAAUGGCUCUAAACGA
rnacentral:rRNA from 1 species